UUAAGCGACUAAGCGUACACGGUGGAUGCCCUGGCAGUCAGAGGCGAUGAAGGACGUGCUAAUCUGCGAUAAGCGUCGGUAAGGUGAUAUGAACCGUUAUAACCGGCGAUUUCCGAAUGGGGAAACCCAGUGUGAUUCGUCACACUAUCAUUAACUGAAUCCAUAGGUUAAUGAGGCGAACCGGGGGAACUGAAACAUCUAAGUACCCCGAGGAAAAGAAAUCAACCGAGAUUCCCCCAGUAGCGGCGAGCGAACGGGGAGCAGCCCAGAGCCUGAAUCAGUGUGUGUGUUAGUGGAAGCGUCUGGAAAGGCGCGCGAUACAGGGUGACAGCCCCGUACACAAAAAUGCACAUACUGUGAGCUCGAUGAGUAGGGCGGGACACGUGGUAUCCUGUCUGAAUAUGGGGGGACCAUCCUCCAAGGCUAAAUACUCCUGACUGACCGAUAGUGAACCAGUACCGUGAGGGAAAGGCGAAAAGAACCCCGGCGAGGGGAGUGAAAAAGAACCUGAAACCGUGUACGUACAAGCAGUGGGAGCACAGAGCAAUCUGUGUGACUGCGUACCUUUUGUAUAAUGGGUCAGCGACUUAUAUUCUGUAGCAAGGUUAACCGAAUAGGGGAGCCGAAGGGAAACCGAGUCUUAACUGGGCGUUAAGUUGCAGGGUAUAGACCCGAAACCCGGUGAUCUAGCCAUGGGCAGGUUGAAGGUUGGGUAACACUAACUGGAGGACCGAACCGACUAAUGUUGAAAAAUUAGCGGAUGACUUGUGGCUGGGGGUGAAAGGCCAAUCAAACCGGGAGAUAGCUGGUUCUCCCCGAAAGCUAUUUAGGUAGCGCCUCGUGAAUUCAUCUCCGGGGGUAGAGCACUGUUUCGGCAAGGGGGUCAUCCCGACUUACCAACCCGAUGCAAACUGCGAAUACCGGAGAAUGUUAUCACGGGAGACACACGGCGGGUGCUAACGUCCGUCGUGAAGAGGGAAACAACCCAGACCGCCAGCUAAGGUCCCAAAGUCAUGGUUAAGUGGGAAACGAUGUGGGAAGGCCCAGACAGCCAGGAUGUUGGCUUAGAAGCAGCCAUCAUUUAAAGAAAGCGUAAUAGCUCACUGGUCGAGUCGGCCUGCGCGGAAGAUGUAACGGGGCUAAACCAUGCACCGAAGCUGCGGCAGCGACGCUUAUGCGUUGUUGGGUAGGGGAGCGUUCUGUAAGCCUGUGAAGGUGUGCUGUGAGGCAUGCUGGAGGUAUCAGAAGUGCGAAUGCUGACAUAAGUAACGAUAAAGCGGGUGAAAAGCCCGCUCGCCGGAAGACCAAGGGUUCCUGUCCAACGUUAAUCGGGGCAGGGUGAGUCGACCCCUAAGGCGAGGCCGAAAGGCGUAGUCGAUGGGAAACAGGUUAAUAUUCCUGUACUUGGUGUUACUGCGAAGGGGGGACGGAGAAGGCUAUGUUGGCCGGGCGACGGUUGUCCCGGUUUAAGCGUGUAGGCUGGUUUUCCAGGCAAAUCCGGAAAAUCAAGGCUGAGGCGUGAUGACGAGGCACUACGGUGCUGAAGCAACAAAUGCCCUGCUUCCAGGAAAAGCCUCUAAGCAUCAGGUAACAUCAAAUCGUACCCCAAACCGACACAGGUGGUCAGGUAGAGAAUACCAAGGCGCUUGAGAGAACUCGGGUGAAGGAACUAGGCAAAAUGGUGCCGUAACUUCGGGAGAAGGCACGCUGAUAUGUAGGUGAAGUCCCUCGCGGAUGGAGCUGAAAUCAGUCGAAGAUACCAGCUGGCUGCAACUGUUUAUUAAAAACACAGCACUGUGCAAACACGAAAGUGGACGUAUACGGUGUGACGCCUGCCCGGUGCCGGAAGGUUAAUUGAUGGGGUUAGCGCAAGCGAAGCUCUUGAUCGAAGCCCCGGUAAACGGCGGCCGUAACUAUAACGGUCCUAAGGUAGCGAAAUUCCUUGUCGGGUAAGUUCCGACCUGCACGAAUGGCGUAAUGAUGGCCAGGCUGUCUCCACCCGAGACUCAGUGAAAUUGAACUCGCUGUGAAGAUGCAGUGUACCCGCGGCAAGACGGAAAGACCCCGUGAACCUUUACUAUAGCUUGACACUGAACAUUGAGCCUUGAUGUGUAG
rnacentral:rRNA from 1 species